rnacentral:lncRNA from 1 species
UAAAAAAACACACUAUAAUUUUCUCAAGAAAAGGAAAGAUUACUUUUUAUUUAGUCAGAACAAUAGGAUUUAACAACCAGAGAUGUAGAGUAACUAAGUAGAUCUACUUCACUACUGGAGUACUUUUACCUCUCUACAAAUAUUGGAGGAGUUCAAUACUUUUACUCUGAUAUUUUUUUAUGUGCUUUAACGUUUAUUUACUUCAGCAGUUUGACUGUUAAAAAAUUAAAACAGAUCGUUUAAGUCAAUGAAGCUCCUCAGCUUCUCAGGAGCAACUUCAAUUCUAUAUGUUACCAUUGAUUUACAUAGAAUUUCACUCUAUAAUCUGUAAUUUCAGUUUCAGAUAUCUAUUAGAAAUUGCAAUUCCACAUAUCUCCACUGUAAUUCACACUGUCCCUGGGAUUCCCCUUUCUGUGACCUCCCCCGGCCCCUGCUGACAGUCUGCCAAGUGAGAGUAGGUCAGCUGGGUCAAGGCUGUGCCUCCUCACUUCAGUCAACUGAAAAUGACUCAGUGGUGGACGAAGUACACAGACCUUGUACCUUAGAUUCCCCUCGCUGUGACCUCCCCCGGCCCCUGCUGAUGGUCUGCCAAGUGAGAGUAGGUCAGCUGGUUCAAGGCUUUGACUCCACACUUCAGUUCACUGUAUUUAAGAUUAAAUGA